GGGAUAGCUCAGUUGGCAGAGCAGCUGACUGUUAAUCAGCGGGUCGCAGGUUCGAGCCCUGCUC
rnacentral:tRNA from 1 species